UUCUUUUUGGCAAUCCACUUCAUCACUGACUCAUCUGUGUAUGGGUGAGCUAACAAGCCUGUAUUAUGUCUUCCCUCUUUCUUUGUAAGUGAAGGAUUUCAGAUUGCUGCGCAUUAUUCAACUGCUAUACUUGUGAAAGAGAAACGUGCUAAACUAUAGUACUCCCUCUGUUGCAUGAUGAGUUUCAGCGACUCUUAUUUUGGGAUGGAGGGAGUAGUAAAUUACUUUUGUUUUUUUCUUUGUUGAUGUGAUAAUAAUUAAGUUUAAAAAUAUGUCAUCUUUUAUUUCACUAAUAGGGUAGAGCCAAGGUGGCAUAAGUGUGUGGCUACGGAUUACAUCACGGAUUAUGUGCUACUUUAUUAGUUGAAGUCUCUUUGUUCGGUUAGUUCUCUAAAACAGAACCAUUUCUCCUGGUGUAUAUGUUUCUUGGCAACAUUUGGUGUAAUACUAAUCUUCCAGAGAUUGUUGUAAGAAAUAACUAUAUUUAGUAUCUUUAUCUCAUCAAUGGGCUAAUUCUAUAAAAAGAACUAAUAAGGAGAUUUCUUAGCAGUACUGUAUAUGUUUGGAGCAAUGAGGUGAUUUUAUCCUAUGUUACUUUCUUUCUCUUGCAUUUCCUAAUUUCGUUUUCCACUCCAUUUUUUCAGGUUCCAAAGUUUGGCCACAACUAGCUUGAUUCGGAGACAUUUCGUAUUAGGAGUUAAACUUUGGUUUGGAGGCAUUGAGCUUUGUCAGUAACUAGCUUUGUUACUUGGUAUACUUCUGUCAGCAUUCAGGUAAACAACUAUCUACCACAUUGUUUAAUCCGUGGUUUACCCGGUGCCAAGUGUACUAUAUUGCUAGAUUUAACUUUAACCUAUGUGUUGCUCCAUAUGUAUCUCGGCAUAAAUGGUUCAUCAUACUAGGAUUUAAUGUAGUGAUCUUACUUCUGUUGCUUCUUGGUGACUAUAAAUUAUAUUGCGUUUUCAUGGAAGCAGGAGCCCCGUAGUUGUGUAGCGGGUCGCGGGAGAGGCAGCCGGUGAGUGCGAGCUGGACGGGAAAGUGAUGCCUGCGAUGGCGAACCAUGCCGGCGGGCAGGGCAGGGUCGACGCUCUAAAUGUACUGCCUGCCAGCUUGUCUUAGUCUUAAUAAAAGUGCAUAUCUGCAGCAUCCUUUCAUUUAUUUGGCAUAUCCUACUUUAAAAAAUAUCCUUGACUCGCAUCGAUUUCAAAUAACUGAAGUAUCU
rnacentral:lncRNA from 1 species